UACAGAGGUGGCGAGCGUUAUUCGGAAUUAUUGGGCGUAAAGGGCGCGUAGGCGGCUUGACAAGUCCCGGGUGAAAUCCCUCGGCUCAACCGAGGAACUGCCUUGGAAACUGUCUGGCUUGAGGCCGGGAGAGGGUAGUGGAAUUCCUAGUGUAGCGGUGAAAUGCAUAGAUAUUAGGAGGAACACCAGUGGCGAAGGCGAGUCUCUGGCACGCAUCUGACGCUGAGACACGAAAGCCAGGGGAGCGAACGGG
rnacentral:rRNA from 1 species